AUUGAACGCUGGCGGCAGGCUUAACACAUGCAAGUCGAGCGGGGGAAGGUAGCUUGCUACCGGACCUAGCGGCGGACGGGUGAGUAAUGCUUAGGAAUCUGCCUAUUAGUGGGGGACAACAUCUCGAAAGGGAUGCUAAUACCGCAUACGUCCUACGGGAGAAAGCAGGGGAUCUUCGGACCUUGCGCUAAUAGAUGAGCCUAAGUCGGAUUAGCUAGUUGGGGGGGUAAGGGCCUACCAAGGCGACGAUCUGUAGCGGGUCUGAGAGGAUGAUCCGCCACACUGGGACUGAGACACGGCCCAGACUCCUACGGGAGGCAGCAGUGGGGAAUAUUGGACAAUGGGGGGAACCCUGAUCCAGCCAUGCCGCGUGUGUGAAGAAGGCCUUAUGGUUGUAAAGCACUUUAAGCGAGGAGGAGGCUACUCUAGUUAAUACCUAGGGAUAGUGGACGUUACUCGCAGAAUAAGCACCGGCUAACUCUGUGCCAGCAGCCGCCGUAA
rnacentral:rRNA from 1 species